AAGUUGAAUCGUUCAACUUGUUGUUCGAUAGCUUAGUCGGUUAUCCAGUUGGCUGUUUAAACGUUCGAUUAGUGCAAUUGCUGCUAGUAUGCGCUAAGAUAUUCGCUAUUUGUAUAUGCUUUAAACCAUGUUUGAAGAGGACUACAUCACUUGUUGGUAUAGAACCCUUCCGCAUUGGUCUGGUAUAUUCAUGGUGAAUAUAAAAAUCGGUGUGUGUAUAGAUCACUAUGGUUUCUUUAGCUGUGGCGUUCAUCAAUUCUUGGUGGUUUUCUACAUUUGACAGUGGCAUGCCACUUUGUCUUAUGUGUCCAAGGCUGUCGAUUGAUGUUCUUGUCACAUUUGGUGAUCUAAAUUCUUAGCGUUAAAGUCGAUCACCUAUCCGACCCGUCUUGAAACACGGACCAAGGAGUUUAGCAUAUGCGCGAGUCAUUGGGUGGUAAACCUAUAGGCGUAAUGAAAGUAAAGUAUAUAUGCAUAUUGUAUAUAUCGAUAUGGGAUUCAUACAGAUGUCUCAUUUAGCGAUUUGGCGCGUGCUGACUGGGGCAUUCAUAGUUACUGUAUGACGCACCAUAGCCCCGUUUAUGUUUAGCAUUGCUAACUAGGCGGAGGUAGAGCGUAUAUGCUAAGACCCGAAAGAUGGUGAACUAUGCUUGAACAGGAUGAAGCCAGAGGAAACUCUGG
rnacentral:rRNA from 1 species